UGCGUCCAAAUACUUCAUGAUAAAAAUAACAAUAUAUUGAACCUUUUUUUUAAAAAAAGGGUAAACUUCACAGAACUAGUCAACCCAAAGCAGUGUCUAUGCAGAUGUAAUAUAUAUAUAUUUUUUUCUUUAAUAUCGGGAAAGGGUAAUCUACAUUAUUUUUCCUGCCUGUAAAAACUGUCUACCUCCUCCCCUUUUAUUCUACUUGAUUUGAACGCCUCCAAACUCACCAUUUUGAAUGUGCGCAAAGCAAUUAACAAGCAGUAAUCUUAAGGAGGCCCAAACUGAAGGCGCAUCUGCCAGAUGGGGGCUCUGACAGGACCGCGCCAAGUGGGAGGGGUGGACGGAGCGGUGCUAGGUCCGGAGAACGGUCGCCGCGUUUAGUACAGGGGUCUGCGGGCCUGAGCCUGCGUGACAAUCGUGCAAACGCAAAUGCACCCCGCACCGCGCCCGCGAGGGAAGGUGUUUCGGGAACGAGGCUGUAGGCCUGUGGCGCAGGAGGGAUCCGCUCCUCGCCAGAUUCACAGCUUGAGCUUCACAUUGCUUCCAGGAUUCUUGAGGAAUAGUUCUGACCAAGAAUUCUUUUUAUCUUUUUGGUGCCUACGUCAACCAUGAAGAAAACCCAUUAAGCUCCCCUUGGGCCCAGUACAGCAGAGGAGACCUGCAGCAGCUUGCAACUCUCUAGUGCGCCCACCUCUUCAGCAAAGAACAACAGAGGAACAUCCAAGCAGUGCGAGGCCGUCUGGUAGGCCCACCCCAUUGGCCCAGUACAGCAGAGGAGCCCAGCCACCCAGCGCCAACACAGUGGGGUCUCCGUGCCCCCUUCACCCUAACACGAACAAGAGAAAGCGGGCCUCUCUGAGGCUCCUAGAUGAUAAUUGAAGCCCACUGGAAAAGUGCAGAAAAUCUCUGCCAUAAAGGCACACCUCACAACCACAGUUGGUAAGUCAGAGGAACCAGUACCUCACAUCUGAACCUGGUCUAACUUCAGGGGAAAAACAGCUG
rnacentral:lncRNA from 1 species